AGUUAAGUUUGAAUUUCAAAUUUAAAAAAAUACAUUUUCAGUAUUAGGAUGGAUUAUCUAGGGGUAAACAGCAUUUGAUUUUUUUAAAUCUGAUAACCCUCCUUUCAGCUGACCACCAAGUUUGGCUGGGGGCAGAGCAUCGGUCAAGCUUGGAUAGGAAGGGGGCAGAAUGAACCAGGGAGACUCUGCAAAUCUUUAUUCAAGGCUGUCAGAAGUUUAACCUUCACUGUUAACCCCCUCCUUAUCCCAGCUCUGAGGGUCAAUUCAGGAUUCACACCUGCCUCCCAGAGAAAAUGCAAGUGGAACAGUUUGAGAGAAGUUAACCUUUUCUCUUCUCCCUUCCUUGUGAGAGGAGUAAUAAAUCCAGGAACUGCUAGGCACUUUCCAACACUUCUUUCCCAAGAGCACAGACCAGACAAGAAUUGGAGUCUAGAAAUUAAAGAUGGAGCUUCAUCAAGGAGACGAUCAGAAAGGCCAGUUCAAAGGGAACAGCAUGUGCAGAACCUCAGAACUUUGCAAGGAGGUGUCGUGUGCAGAAAAAUGGAGAGAUUCACCGGGCACAGUGGCUCACGCCUGUAAUCCCAACACUUUAGGAGGCCGAGGUGGGUGGAUCACCUGAGAUCGGGAGUUUGAGACCAGCCUGACCAACAUGGAGAAACCCCGUCUCUACUAAAAAUACAAAAUUAGCCGGGCGUGGUGGCUCAUGUCUGUAAUCUCAGCUAUUCCGGAGGCUGAGGCAGGAGAAUUGCUUUAACCUGGGAGGCGGAGGUUGCGGUGAGCCGAGAUCACGCCAUUGCACGCCAGCCUGGGCAACAAGAGUGAAACUCCGUCUCAAAAAAGAAAAAAAGAAAAAUGGAGAGAUUCAUGUGUAACUGAGGCCUCAGAUGUUCCAGGGAGUGACUGGGAAGAGAGAGGCAACCAGGCCCCAAAACAAAAAAGGGGCAGCCCAUAGAAGAGCCUGUCUGUGUGGCCCAAAGGAAAGAGCUCCAAGGACUCAGGAACUCUUUGGGGUACCAGAGCAGACCCUCUUGUGUCCAGAGGCUGUUCCUUCCAGUGGGUUCGUGGUCUCGCUGACUUCAAGAAUGGAGCCACAGACCUUCAUGCCCAGUACCUGCCCUGCAAAACAGGCUCAAGCACUGACCAAAAUGCAGAGUUAGAGGCAGCCUCAGGAAGCACCUAGACGUCUACCACUGACUAAAGCUGAUAGUUUCAUCACCCUCAGAACCUGCCAACUGCCUGUGACUGGACUCCCCGCCCUCAUGCAGGAUGGAGGAUUGAGCAAGUCUGUGUGAGACAACACUCAGAAGAUAUAAACGGAGUCAUCCCUUCCCUCAACAAAUUUACACCAGGUGGGGCAGCUCUGUUUUAUUUUCCUGCUUCACGGGCCCAUGGGCUUUUAAACACAACCAGAGACAGCCACGCUCCUAGAGAACGUAAUGACAGUUGAAUGGAGUUCAAGGCAAACUCAGGACCAGCACAGACGUGCUCCUUGCCAUCUGAAACGACUUCAUAAACAAGCAAUCGAGGUGGUGAAUUUACACUUAUAAUAUCCUCAUUAGCUCCUUUGAAUUAUGAUUAUGUUUUCCUGUUUGGACUUUUUUCCCACAGAUGAUAGAAGUCUUACUAUGCCAAUAAAAUACAUCUGAAGAGACUUUCAGAGGGAGAUCUCAAAG
rnacentral:lncRNA from 1 species